GUGACAUUUUUCUAUGAACAAUAUUUUUAAUUCUAAUAUUUUCCAUCAAAUGAAUUUAGCCUCACCUGCAGGUUGCAUUUUGUUUAAUUUCUAGUAUCAUUAUUUUAAAACUAUGUAUACACAAAUUAUCUUUCUCAUCUCAAUUAGUAAUAUGAGCUGGUGAUAGAAAUGUAAUGUGCCAUCUGGUUUCAAUUUAUCUCUGUGUAGUGGUAAAGACAGGAAGUACCAUAAAUUAAUGUACACAGAGUUUGAGGCCAAAUUAAGGGUAGAGCAUUUCUUCUUUGUAUUUAUUUCCAUUAUAACUUAUAACAUCAAAGAUAAAAAAAAAUAUAUAUAUAUAAUUAUUUUUUUAUUAUAAUAUAUAACAAAUAUUCAAGAUUUAGGCAAUUGAUAUUUAUAAUUAGGGGCAAAUUUCAAAGGGAUCACACUGUCACAAUACCCUAAGCAACCUUGAUCAACAUAUUCAAAAUUUGAACUGGAUAUGAACAUGCAAUACAACAAACAAAGAUGUCUUCUAUCAUGAACAAAGUAAUAUGAAUUUUACAAUGGAUUUAGAUCCAAAAGUUCCAAUUAAUUCUAUUGACACUGGAUAGUGCAUAUGAUAGCCUUCAGUUGACAUGACUCUUGGAUUUAGGAAGAUUGGUGUUUACACAUAAUUUGGAUAACAUCUUUUGUAUUUGAAAUCAGAAAAUUCAACUUUAAGGACAGUGAGUACAGAGAAACAGAACUAAAGGAUACACAGAUAUGUAACACAACAACCUACAGAGGACAGAGAAAAUUUUGUUUUAUUAUUAAAUCAUACUUUUUUAAA